rnacentral:snoRNA from 1 species
ACCUUUUUGUUCCGACUUCCAUUGGAUCUGAACACUAGUCUAGAUGGUCACAAAAGGAGGAAAAAUAAUGCUGAAGCUAACCUCACAGCCUUGUAAUCUGGUAAUAUAUUGUGUGGGCUACUUUUUUUUUUCC